rnacentral:rRNA from 1 species
AUUGAACGCUGGCGGCAUGCCUUACACAUGCAAGUCGAACGGUAACAGGUCUUCGGAUGCUGACGAGUGGCGAACGGGUGAGUAAUACAUCGGACCGUUCCUAGUAGUGGGGGAUAACUACUCGAAAUAGUGGCUAAUACCGCAUAAGAUCUACGGAUGAAAGCAGGAGAUGGUAAGACAUUGUGUGAUUAGAGCGGGCGAUGGCAGAUUAGGUAGCUGGUGGGAUAAAAGCUUACCAAGCCGACGAUCUGUAGCUGGUCUGAGAGGACGAUCAGCCACACUGGGACUGAGAAACGGCCCAGACUCCUACGGGAGGCAGCAGUGGGGAAUUUUGGACAAUGGGCGCAAGCCUGAUCCAGCAAUGCCGCGUGCAGGAUGAAGGCCUUCGGGUUGUAAACUGCUUUUGUACGGAACGAAAAGCCCCGGGUUAAUACCCUGGGGUCAUGACGGUACCGUAAGAAUAAGCACCGGCUAACUACGUGCCAGCCGCCGCAGUAA